rfam:Canis lupus familiaris chromosome 11, whole genome shotgun sequence.
CGGGGGAGGCCGGAUCCUGGGCUGUGUCCCGGCGCCCUGUGCUCCGGGGCCUGCGCUGUUGGAUUCACGCUCCCGCCCCGCAGCCCCCU